GGUGUCUGUCACCCCACUGACCUCCAGGGUUAAUUCAACUGAUCUGGCUGGCUAGGUGGGUGUC
rnacentral:snRNA from 1 species